ACGGAGGGGGCUAGCGUUGUUCGGAAUUAUUGGGCGUAAAGGGCGCGUAGGCGGCCCGGCAAGUCAGUUGUGAAAUCCCUCGGCUCAACCGAGGAAUUGCGACUGAUACUGCCGAGCUUGAGUCCCGGAGAGGGUAGCGGAAUUCCCAGUGUAGCGGUGAAAUGCGUAGAUAUUGGGAGGAACACCAGUGGCGUAGGCGGCUACCUGGACGGGUACUGACGCUGAGGCGCGAAAGCGUGGGGAGCAAACAGG
rnacentral:rRNA from 1 species